GACGUCGAAUAUCGAGGUCAUAAACACCAAAGUUGAUCGUGUUUAUAACGUCGACGUCAUAGACACCAAAGUUGAUCGUGUUUACGACGUCGAAUAUCGACGUUAUAUAUAAUCACCAAAGUUGAUCGUGUUUAUGACGUCGAAUAUCGAGGUCAUAAACACGAAAGUUGAUCGUGUUUAUAACGUCGACGUCAUAAACACCAAAGUUGAUCCUGUUGAUGACGUCGAAUAUCGAUGUC